rnacentral:rRNA from 1 species
CUACGGGCGGCUGCAGUGGGGAAUAUUGCACAAUGGGCGCAAGCCUGAUGCAGCCAUGCCGCGUGUAUGAAGAAGGCCUUCGGGUUGUAAAGUACUUUCAGCAGGGAGGAAGGGAGUAAAGUUAAUACCUUUGCUCAUUGACGUUACCCGCAGAAGAAGCGCCGGCUAACUCCGUGCCAGCAGCCGCGGUAAUACGGAGGGUGCAAGCGUUAAUCGGAAUUACUGGGCGUAAAGCGCACGCAGGCGGUUUGUUAAGUCAGAUGGUGAAUCCCCGGGCUCAACCUGGGAACUGGAUCUGAUACUGGCAAGCUUGAGUCUCGUAGAGGGGGGUAGAAUUCCAGGUGUAGCGGUGAAAUGCGUAGAGAUCUGGAGGAAUACCGGUGGCGAAGGCGGCCCCCUGGACGAAGACUGACGCUCAGGUGCGAAAGCGUGGGGAGCAAACAGGAUUAGAUACCCCGGUAGUC